UGACGAAUCGUCCAAUCGUUGUAGAUCUUUAACAAGGAGAGUUCUUAUUUGCGCGUAAUACAUUCGUAAUUGAAUAAUAUACAUUGUUUUAUGUAAUGAUCACAAGUUAUAUAAGGAUGCUACAGGUCCUCAGUUCGAAAUCUGGUUCGCGACGUAAAAGAAUUAUUGCUAUAUGCGAGUGUAAAAAAAAAUAUACGUGCGAUUGUUCAUCGAUAUUUUAUAUUAUUAAAAAUAAAUAUUGAAAACAUUGUGUUGUGAAAUAUUUGGUGAAAACAGUGAAAAUUGUGGAUCGAAAACAUCGACGCGGUAUGAAUGAUAACAUUUUUCGAAGAUUAAGGAAGAUGGAGCACGCACGCUACGUGACAAUGGGAAGUUAGAAGCGAAUUGUCUUGUGUUGAGAGAAGGUGCUACCAGAUCACGCGUGGUGGUUAACAGAUGCACGUCCUUUCGAGUGGAGGAUCGAUAAUUCGCUUGACGUUUCGAGAGUUUCGCUAGAUGCUACUCAAGAAUCGUAUUCAUUGGUCGAGUAGACGAUUCUGAUCUUUAUUGGGACAAUAAACUACGGUGCAUACGUAUUAUGAGAGCAUCCUGUGAUCCAAACUAUGACGGUUCGCUGUGGGCAUCAACUCGAAGUUCCACGUAUGUACAACGUAAAUACUGAAGCAACGGGAAAUAAAAGGAACGGCCGAUUUCCGGAGGGCAUAUCGUUGACAUUAUGAACUUUUGCUGUAACGAGAUAAGAAAUAUCAGAGAAAGAGCAUAUAAUUCUUUCGUCGCGUCUUACCAACUUCUGCGACUUUUAAUCCCAGUAAACAUCGAUGUUGUGGGACGCGUUCCAAUACAAAAUCAAAAACAAGAAAAAGAUAUCUUAUUUCUUUUCUGCUUCGAGUAAACUCGUAAGCUAUGAAAACUCGUAAAAAUUAUUUCUAUAUCUGAUACUACAUUUGAAGGACUAGAUAGAUAGAAAGAGAGAGAGAGAGAGAGAGAGAGAGAGAGAGAGAGAGAGAAAGAGAUAAAUAAAGAAAAAGAAAGAAAGAAAAGUACUUACUAAAAAUAGAAAAGAGAAAAUAGAAAAGAAUGCAAGCAAUUUUUCGUUAAAAGACUCUCCUCACGCGAUUUGCCAACUUCCUGAUUCCUCCAACUAUAUCCAAUCGAUUGAAUCUUAAUAGUUUGUAAAGUUGAAGGAAGGAAGUAACAGAGAGAGAGAAAGAGAGAGAGAGAGAGAGAGAGAGAGACAUGGCUAGCUGGCUAUCAUCGAACGGCGACGAACCUAUGGAUCGUAAUUACGUGCGAAACGUUUUGAACUACAUUAACGACUUGAAGGAGUCCUUCUCUGAGGAGGAAUUCAAGUGCCUCGAACGAAAGCAUCAAGACCUACAAGCUCGGUUAGAAGAACGACACCAGCAUCAAGCCAUCAAUGGUGGAAUUGAGGAAGGAGGAGCUACGGAGGGUCAAGAGGGUUGCGAAGUUAGUUGGGACUCUUUACUCUGUUGGCCAUACACGUCACCAGGAACUCUCGCCAUAUUACCUUGCUUCGAAGAACUCAAUGGCAUACGCUACGACAAUACUCAAAACGCAAGUCGAUGGUGUUGGCUAAAUGGUACAUGGGAUAGUUAUUCAAACUAUUCUUCGUGCCGUGACAUUCGACCGUUGAACAUUGAAGCUGAUGUAGAAAUUACGACAAAAAUAUAUUUCAUUGGAUAUAGCUUGUCCCUUUGUACUCUGGCGAUAGCCGUCUCCAUAUUUUUAUAUUUUAAGGAACUGAGAUGUCUAAGGAACAAUAUACAUAUAAAUUUAAUGUUCACGUACAUUCUGGCUGACCUCAUGUGGAUAUUAACUACUGCAAUGCAGGUCUCUAUGCAAACAGACAUACCAACUUGCGUCACGUUCUUCUCUCUUCUUCAUUAUUUUCAAUUGACCAAUUUCUUCUGGAUGUUCGUCGAAGGAUUGUAUCUCUAUUUGUUAGUUGUAAGAACUUUUACGGGAGAUAAUAUUCAACUAAAGAUGUGUCUUGUCAUAGGUUGGGGUGUUCCAAUUCUCAUCAUAGCUAUUUGGGGCAUCGCCAAGUCUCUUGUCACUCAAGGAAAUCAGAAUGUCGCACUUUGGAAGCAUUGUCCAUGGAUGACACCACAUUCCUACGAUUGGAUUUAUCAAGCAUCUGUCAUUACAGUUCUUGCCGUGAAUGUGAUUUUCUUGUUCUUGAUCAUGUGGGUACUGAUCACUAAGUUAUGGUCUGCAAACAAUGCAGAAACGCAACAGUAUAGAAAAGCUAGCAAAGCUCUGUUGGUGCUGAUACCACUUCUUGGAGUGACAUACGUUCUGGUUCUCGCUGGACCAACGGAAGGUCAAGCAGCUAAUGCAUUUUCUUACACCCGUGCUGUGUUACUUUCUUCUCAGGGUUUGCUGGUGACGCUAUUCUAUUGUUUUCUCAAUACCGAGGUGCAGAAUACGCUGAGACAUCACUUUGCAAGGUGGACGACGUCGCGUGAUCUUGGCAAUAGUCGAAGGUAUUACAAGAAUUGGUCUCCGCGCUCAAGAACAGAAAGCAUAAGGUACUUGAAGUCCGCGCCGAAGACGCGCACGUCUUAAAAUCGCUUUGCGGUGCUUCAAGACGUUGAAAGAACGCAGAAAUGAGGAACGUGAACGCCUCUCCUCUUUUAAUAUUAUUUUAUAAGACGGCCCAGAUAGAAAAUCGAGAGAAGCUGCGUUUCUUCAACGAUAAAUCUUAUCGAGAAAUAAUAAAGGCUAUACGGCCAACCUUCAAAUCCAUAUCGUAAAAGGGAAUCUACGGUAAGUGAAACGACGACCACAACGGUGAUAGGUCCGAAUUCAACAACAACGUUUCUGGACAAAUCUAAGAAAGCCAUUUCAGAAGACUCAAAUGAAUAAAGUUUUACACGAAGCGAAUUUCGGUGGGAGGAGAGACUGAUUGCCUCUAAAUUUUCAACUCAUCUUUGUUCGCUUAAAAAAAUCUCCAAUUUUUCUACCAGCCAAAUUAUGAUAUACAGUAGAUAUUAGUAAAAAUUAAAUUGAUCCAACACUGCUAUAUGAGGUAAUAAAUAUUAUAUUAUUAUUUUUUAAUAAGAUUAUAAGGCUCCUUUAUUUUUCCACUUUUGUCUUAUUUAGCAAUAAUAGAAUCUUUUUUUUUUUGUAAUAUUUAAAAACACGAAAGAAACUGAAAAAUGAGAUUAAAGAAUUUAUAUGAAUAUGUAUAGGGUAUGGGUAUAUGUAUAGGAUAUAUGUAUAGGUAUGUGUAUAGAAAUUAAUUUUUAGUUGUAUAAAUCCAUAUCAUACAUUUAUAUUCCCCGAAUAUAUGCAUGUUCAUAUAUACAUAAUAAUAUUCUAUGCACACUCCCUAACUUAUGGCACAGUACGACUAAAAUCAUCUCUGUAUAGUAUUAUAUCUAAUUGUUUAAAUGAAAUGUUGAUUGCAUAUAAAAUAAUAUAAGAGCAUGUAACAUUAGGUUAUACGAUUGAGAUAUUCAUUUUUAAUUUUUGAAUUUUCACCUUUCAAAGAUAAAUUAGAUAUUAAUUAUCAACUAGACUGAAUAUUAUUUUAAGGAUAUAUGCGGCAAUAACUCUGGCAAAUAUUAAGGUAAUACGCGAAGUAACUCUACCAAAUACACCCGCAGAUAAACAAAGUUACGCCAUAAAUAUGUAACUGUAUUACAGAAUAUUACAUAUUUA